rnacentral:misc_RNA from 1 species
AUACAACAACAUUCCACCAUGCAUUCCACAAAUCAUCAGCUCAAUGAGUGCAAAUCGAUUGAAAACAAUAGCUGAAUGGCAAUACAAAAUCAGCCUAACUAGGAGAUAUCUCCCAAUGAAUGUAGCUAGCAACAUAUAUCUAUAUUAAUGGAAUGGUAAGCACAGGUUUUUUCCUCGUACUGCAGAAAGAGUGUAGCUGAUUGUCAUCAAAUGUCCCAAAACCAGAAAGAUGGAUGCCAUAUGCUUCCAUUCUGUUCACAUCCCGUGGAAUAGGUGACUGCCAAAGUCCAUCCCACCAUGCAGGCGGAAGAAUUGGAGUACGAGCACAUUGCCUUGAUUGGUUGUGGCAGCUCAAUGUACCAGCAAAUCGGUUCCACACGUGCCCCCAACCAAUCUGAUUCUUUAGGCCUUCUCUAAGCAAGUUACUCUGGAAGCUACUGAGGAAGGUGAAGUUUGAUCCAGCAGAGGAUCUUUCUUCUUCAAGGUUGUUAGCUGCAGCCAACGCUGCAACCAGCUGAGCA